UACGGAGGGUGCAAGCGUUAUCCGGAUUCACUGGGUUUAAAGGGUGCGUAGGCGGGCAGGUAAGUCAGUGGUGAAAUCUCCAAGCUUAACUUGGAAACUGCCGUUGAUACUAUCUGUCUUGAAUGUUGUGGAGGUGAGCGGAAUAUGUCAUGUAGCGGUGAAAUGCUUAGAUAUGACAUGGAACCCCAAUUGCGAAGGCAGCUCACUCCACAAAUAUUGACGCUGUGGCGCGAAAGCGUGGGGAUCAAACAGG
rnacentral:rRNA from 1 species